rnacentral:rRNA from 1 species
CCUACGGGUGGCAGCAGUGGGGAAUAUUGGACAAUGGGCGAAAGCCUGAUCCAGCCAUGCCGCGUGUGUGAAGAAGGCCUUCGGGUUGUAAAGCACUUUCAGUGGGGAAGAAAGCCUUGGGGCUAAUACCCUCGAGGAAGGACAUCACCCACAGAAGAAGCACCGGCUAACUCCGUGCCAGCAGCCGCGGUAAUACGGAGGGUGCGAGCGUUAAUCGGAAUUACUGGGCGUAAAGCGCGCGUAGGCGGUCUGAUAAGCCGGUUGUGAAAGCCCCGGGCUCAACCUGGGAACGGCAUCCGGAACUGUCAGGCUAGAGUGCAGGAGAGGAAGGUAGAAUUCCCGGUGUAGCGGUGAAAUGCGUAGAGAUCGGGAGGAAUACCAGUGGCGAAGGCGGCCUUCUGGACUGACACUGACGCUGAGGUGCGAAAGCGUGGGUAGCAAACAGGAUUAGAUAACCCAGUAGUC